UACGAAUGGAGCAAGCGUUGUUCGGAAUCACUGGGCUUAAAGCGUCCGCAGGCGGAUUUGCAAGUCAGAAGUGAAAUCCCCGGGCUUAACCCGGGAACUGCUUUUGAAACUGCAAAUCUAGAAUAUUGGAGAGGUUGGGAGAAUUCCGAGUGUAGAGGUGAAAUUCGCAGAUAUUCGGAGGAAUACCAGUGGCGAAGGCGCCCAACUGGACAAUCAUUGACGCUCAGGGACGAAAGCGUGGGGAGCAAACAGG
rnacentral:rRNA from 1 species